GUAGGGAAUCUUGCGCAAUGGGCGAAAGCCUGACGCAGCCAUGCCGCGUGAAUGAUGAAGGUCUUAGGAUUGUAAAAUUCUUUCACCGGGGACGAUAAUGACGGUACCCGGAGAAGAAGCUCCGGCUAACUUCGUGCCAGCAGCCGCGGUAAUACGAAGGGGGCUAGCGUUGCUCGGAAUUACUGGGCGUAAAGGGCGCGUAGGCGGACAGCUUAGUCAGAGGUGAAAGCCCAGGGCUCAACCUUGGAAUUGCCUUUGAUACUGGCUGUCUUGAGUUUGGGAGAGGUGAGUGGAACUCCGAGUGUAGAGGUGAAAUUCGUAGAUAUUCGGAAGAACACCAGUGGCGAAGGCGACUCACUGGCCCAAUACUGACGCUGAGGCGCGAAAGCGUGGGGAGCAAACAGGAUUAGAAACCCCAGUAGUCC
rnacentral:rRNA from 1 species